AGUGAACGCUGGCGGUAGGCCUAACACAUGCAAGUCGAACGGCAGCACAGUAAGAGCUUGCUCUUACGGGUGGCGAGUGGCGGACGGGUGAGGAAUACAUCGGAAUCUACUUUUUCGUGGGGGAUAACGUAGGGAAACUUACGCUAAUACCGCAUACGAUCUACGGGUGAAAGCAGGGGAUCUUCGGACCUUGCGCGAUUGAAUGAGCCGAUGUCGGAGUAGCUAGUUGGCGGGGUAAAGGCCCACCAAGGCGACGAUCCGUAGCUGGUCUGAGAGGAUGAUCAGCCACACUGGAACUGAGCCACGGUCCAGACUCCUACGGGAGGCAGCAGUGGGGAAUAUUGGACAAUGGGCGCAAGCCUGAUCCAGCCAUACCGCGUGGGUGAAGAAGGCCUUCGGGUUGUAAAGCCCUUUUGUUGGGAAAGAAAAGCAGCAGGUUAAUACCCCGCUGUUCUGACGGUACCCAAAGAAUAAGCACCGGCUAACUUCGUG
rnacentral:rRNA from 1 species